ACAACAUUCGGACCGUUGGUCUACCGAGCAAUUUCAGCAGCUGGGUAGAAGAUUUCCCCUUUGUCGU
rnacentral:pre_miRNA from 1 species